UACGUAGGGGGCAAGCGUUGUCCGGAAUGAUUGGGCGUAAAGGGCGCGUAGGCGGCCUGUUAAGUCUGGAGUGAAAGUCCUGCUUUUAAGGUGGGAAUUGCUUUGGAAACUGGCGGGCUGGAGUGCAGGAGAGGUUAGUGGAAUUCCCGGUGUAGCGGUGAAAUGCGUAGAGAUCGGGAGGAACACCAGUGGCGAAGGCGACUAACUGGACUGUAACUGACGCUGAAGCGCGAAAGUGUGGGGAGCAAACAGGAUUAGAUACCCUGGUAGUCCACACGGUAAACGAUGAAUGCUAGGUGUAGGGGGUAUCGACCCCUUCUGUGCCGGAGUAAACACAAUAAGCAUUCCGCCUGGGGAGUACGGCCGCAAGGUUGAA
rnacentral:rRNA from 1 species